UACGUAGGGAGCAAGCGUUGUCCGGAAUCAUUGGGCGUAAAGCGCGCGUAGGCGGCUUUGUAAGUUAGAGGUGAAAGCCCGGGGCUCAACCCCGGAAUUGCCUUUAAGACUGCAUCGCUUGAAUCCGGGAGAGGUGAGUGGAAUUCCGAGUGUAGAGGUGAAAUUCGUAGAUAUUCGGAAGAACACCAGUGGCGAAGGCGGCUCACUGGACCGGCAUUGACGCUGAGGUGUGAAAGCGUGGGGAGCAAACAGG
rnacentral:rRNA from 1 species